rnacentral:rRNA from 1 species
GGCGUGCCUAAUACAUGCAAGUCGAACGGAGAUAGCAAUAUCUUAGUGGCGUUCGGGUGCGUAACACGUAGCUGACCUACCCCUCGGCGGGGGACAACUGCUGGAAACGGCAGCUAAUACCGCAUAUAUUUAAGAUGUCCAGAAAGUCUUAAAGAAACUUACGGGGUCGAGGGAGGGGGCUGCGGCCCAUCAGGUAGUUGGUGAGGUAACGGCUCACCAAGCCGACGACGGGUAGGGGGCCUGAGAGGGUGGUCCCCCACACUGGGACUGACAACGGCCCAGACUCCUACGGGAGGCAGCAGUAAGGAAUAUUGCACAAUGGGCGAAAGCCUGAUGCAGCAACGCCGCGUGCAGGAUGAAGGCCUUCGGGUCGUAAACUGCUUUGGACCCUGACGUGCAAGGACGGUAGGGGUCGAACAAGUCACGGCUAACUACGUGCCAGCAGCCGCGGUAAAACGUAGGUGACAAGCGUUAUCCGGAUUUACUGGGCGUAAAGGGUGUGCAGGCGGGGGGAUAAGUGGUGUAUGAAAGUGCCCGGCUUAACCGGGCGAGGCUAUGCCAGACUGUCCUUCUUGAGCGCGAGAGAGGAGCGUGGAAUUCCGGGUGUAGUGGUGAAAUGCGUAGAGAUCCGGAGGAACCCCAGAGGCGAAGGCGGCGCUCUGGCUCGCGACUGACGCUCAGACACGACAGCAUGGGGAGCGAACGGGAUUAGAAACCCCGGUAGUCCAUGCCGUAAACGAUGCCGACUAGGCGCUGGUGGUUUGAACGCUGCCGGUGCCGCAGCAAACGCGAUAAGUCGGCCGCCUGGGGAGUACGACCGCAAGGUUAAAACUCAAAGGAAUUGACGGGGGCCCGCACAAGCAGCGGAGCGUGUGGUUUAAUUCGAGACUACACGAAGAACCUUACCUAGACUUGACAUGGGUGCGAACGAAGGUGAAAGCCUGAGGUCCGCAAGGCGCAUCCACAGGUGCUGCAUGGCUGUCGUCAGCUCGUGCCGUGAGGUGUUAGGUUAAGUCCUGUAACGAGCGCAACCCUCGGCUCCAGUUACACGUUGUCUGGAGCAACUGCCCGUGACAAGCGGGAGGAAGGUGGGGAUGACGUCAAGUCAGCAUGGCCUUUAUGUCUAGGGCUACACACACGCUACAAUGGGCGGUACAAUGGGUUGCCAACCCGCAAGGGGGAGCCAAUCCUGCAAAGCCGUCCCCAGUUCAGAUUGUAGGCUGCAACCCGCCUACAUGAAGUCGGAGUUGCUAGUAACCGCCGGUCAGCUAUACGGCGGUGAAUACGUUCCCGGGCCUUGUACACACCGCCCGUCACGUCAUGGGAGCUGGUCACGCCUGAAGCCAGUGGGCUAACCGCAAGGAGGCAACUGUCCAAGGCAGGGCCGGUGACUGGGACGAAGUCGUAGCAAGGUA